CCUACGGGCGGCUGCAGUGAGGAAUUUUGCGCAAUGGGGGAAACCCUGACGCAGCGACGCCGCGUGGAGGAUGAAGUAUUUCGGUAUGUAAACUCCUGUCAGUGGGGACGAUAAUGACGGUACCCACAAAGGAAGCACCGGCUAACUCCGUGCCAGCAGCCGCGGUAAGACGGAGGGUGCAAGCGUUGUUCGGAAUUACUGGGCGUAAAGCGUAUGUAGGCGGUUAGUUAAGUCAAAUGUUAAAGACCGAGGCUCAACCUCGGGAAUGCAUUUGA
rnacentral:rRNA from 1 species